GACGAACGCUGGCGGCGUGCCUAAUACAUGCAAGUCGAGCGGACAGAUGGGAGCUUGCUCCCUGAUGUUAGCGGCGGACGGGUGAGUAACACGUGGGUAACCUGCCUGUAAGACUGGGAUAACUCCGGGAAACCGGGGCUAAUACCGGAUGGUUGUUUGAACCGCAUGGUUCAAACAUAAAAGGUGGCUUCGGCUACCACUUACAGAUGGACCCGCGGCGCAUUAGCUAGUUGGUGAGGUAAUGGCUCACCAAGGCAACGAUGCGUAGCCGACCUGAGAGGGUGAUCGGCCACACUGGGAUGAGACACGGCCCAGACUCCUACGGGAGGCAGCAGUAGGGAAUCUUCCGCAAUGGACGAAAGUCUGACGGAGCAACGCCGCGUGAGUGAUGAAGGUUUUCGGAUCGUAAAG
rnacentral:rRNA from 1 species